GAAUAUGAUAUGAGUGAAGGUAUGCAUUGUUUUGCAUUGUAUUUAAAAGGGAAGACUGGUGAAAUUCCAGCACGGACCCGCCACUGUAAGUGAGGAGAUAUCUAGCAAGAGCCACUGUGAAAAACGGGAAGGCGCUAGACAUUGUUAAUUCACAAGUCAGGAGACCUGCCUUCAAUUGAAAGCCAAA
rnacentral:ncRNA from 1 species